rnacentral:lncRNA from 1 species
AUGGAUGAUACGCAUCAUUGCUGGUCUGGUUCACCUCAGCUGGCUACUGAAAGCUCUGCAGCUAGCUCUGCCAUCUCCCACGUCAAGCUGAGGCUGCGUUCUUUUCAGGCUAGUCGUCAUCGUUUUCCGUUAGCACGCUUUUCAAACUACUAAACGGUGCAUUUUUCUGUAAAAAGUUUCUAUACGAAAGUUACUUAAAAAAAUCAUAUUAGUCCAUUUUUUUUAAAAAGAAUAGCAGAUACUUAAUUAAUCAUGUGCUAAUGGAUCGCUCCGUUUUCCGUAAUCACUGUUGACAAGAAGAAAGAACGCAGCCUGAGCCCGUUUGCUUCUCCUCACCGCCACCCCAGCUCACCGUCUCGCUCACCUCAAAUCACCCCGUCCCCUCCCGCCGCUGCCGCUGCCGCUGCCUGACGACAAGACCUCUCCUCUCCGCUCCGCGGCGGCCGCCGAUGAAUCGGAAUUUACCCUUCUGCCCCGGAUACUCCAUGGCGACGACGAGGGGCACAUCGGUAAAAAGCGCGGGGGAGGUCGCCUCGCCGGCGAGACGGCGGUUGAAUUUACCCAUCUACCCCGCCCCAUCCCGGCCCGUCGCUAUCCUCUCCGUGGGGAGGGGUAGAAGGGUAAAAGCACCCGCGCCGCGUUCGCGCGGGAAAUCCGGGAGGGGGAUUUGUACUACUGUGCUCGUUUUUAUUAAUACCGUCGCUUCGCUUCUGCUGCUGGGGUUUCGUGUUCAUCUCGCCUUGCCCUUGGCUCGCGUCGGGGCGGAUGCGGAGGCGGCGUCGCUGUCCCCGAUCGAAUGCUGCCGCUGCUGCGCCCCCUCACUUUCGAGAUCUGAGCGCGUGACGCCCGCCUCUCCGGCUCCGAGGUAUGUUGCUCUCCUUUGCGAUGGUUUUGGUUUGGCCGCCGAUUGAUUGAGAGGAGUUCUGGGAGGGGAGGCA